rnacentral:rRNA from 1 species
AGGACGAACGCUGGCGGCGUGCUUAACACAUGCAAGUCGAGCGGAAAGGCCCUUCGGGGUACUCGAGCGGCGAACGGGUGAGUAACACGUGAGCAACCUGCCCCUGGCUCUGGGAUAGCCUCCGGAAACGGGGAUUAAUACCGGACAUUCACUUCCUUCCGCAUGGUUGGUGGUGGAAAGUUUUUCGGCCGGGGAGGGGCUCGCGGUCUAUCAGCUUGUUGGCGGGGUAACGGCCCACCAAGGCGACGACGGAUAGCCGGCCUGAGAGGGCGAUCGGCCACACUGGGACUGAGACACGGCCCAGACUCCUACGGGAGGCAGCAGUGGGGAAUAUUGCACAAUGGGCGCAAGCCUGAUGCAGCGACGCCGCGUGGGGAUGAAGGCCUUCGGGUUGUAAACCCUUUCACCAGGAGCGAAUUCAGACGGUACCUGGGGAAGAAGCGCCGGCUAACUACGCGCCAGCAGCCGC